GGAUGAUGUCACGUUACUUCAGUAGUGUUCGGUUAUUUUCUUCCGCUGUAAUAUUUUAUUUGCACAAACGUUUGCACAAAGCGGUGGUAAAUACCGUAAAUAAAAAAACAAACAUUAAAUAAUCAGAUACAGCUAAUAUGCAACGGCCAGGGGUAAAAAUCCACAUAUGGAAAGCUGCUAAAUUGUUGCUUGCUAAUCCCAUGAAACAAUUCCGUUACCUUAUCACUAGCAGCAGAACGCCAGCUUACCCGCAUCGACAGAAUAUGAGUUACAUAUUUACAUGAAACGGUCGUGUGUACCCUGAACUGAUAGUAUUUACUCGAGAAAUAGAUGCCGGAAUGCUUGGUGGAAGCAGCCCUGAAAGAAGUUUGGAAUGCUUGAUCGUUGCUGGUGUUUCAAUAACAGAUGACAAAAGCAAGAUUAUUUUGACGGCUAUUUCUGGAACAAGAUAUCGAUCCGGAAAUAAGAAAAGAUCAUCAAAAAGUAUUUUGCUUUCCAAUUCAUCAAGAAUUGCACAGCAGGAGGAGAAAAUCAUUCAAAGAUUUGCUCCGAACAAGUCUAAUCUGUAUUGGCUAUACAGCAACUGUUUGAGCUGAAUUUGAUCAACAUCAAGAAAGUUAGCAUCAGCGUCAUAGUACCUACUGAGCCAUUACGGACGAAUAUUAUUAUCUGAACGAGAAUUAAGCAAGCGGAAAACGAUAAAAAAACACAUGGAUUCGGGCUCGGAGAAUUCGGUUUGGUGAAAAACGAAUCACGGAAGAAACCUCGAAAGUCUAAUGGCAGUUCUUCUGAUAUCAUGUCUCAUAAUUUGCUGCUAAAUAUCUACCCGGGAGAAGUAAACACGCAUAUCGUUGAGCGAAUUGAAUUGAAACUUGACAAAACUGCAAAGGAACGGUUGCUGGCAAAAAAGUGCAAACCACAAGGUAUUAUAAUAACUGCUAGAAUUUUGCCCUCAUGGAACCAGAGUCGAGUGUGCAUUUACUGAAGGCUGCGGAUAGCGCAUUUGAACAGUAAGGAUGAUGACGUUAUUACUAUCGAUUCAUAAUCGCCGAUGUUAAGAAGGAGAAGGCGGAUAAACCUGGGGAUAAACAAUCAACCUCCAAGGUAUUCAAUAACCGAGUCUCGUUAUUGUCAACAAUCCAUUAUUUGCCUCACACGGACGCGAAGAAGAAGUUGUGACGAUUACGCACACUUCUGCUGAUUGAAUGUUUCACUUCUGAGAAUAUAGAAACGCCUGUCGGAUUCUUUGCCUUAUUGGUGGCAGUGGUAAGAAAGCGCAUUGUGAGAGCAUGCCUGUCUCCUGUAUUCGAGAGUGCUGUCCGACUGGUGGCCAUCAUAGCCGCGGUGCUUUGAUGUAAUUAACUUGAUAGUGUCAAUCUCAUUCGGGUGACCAAUAACCAAAAUGAACCGAACAACAACAUGCAAGCGACACGGUGGCAAUUCACAUCUGGCUGGUUUGAACCCUCUUAGCAAACCAUUGCAAAGCUAUCUCAAUCAGGCUCCUCCAUCGAGUCUUGAUCCGUUCAGUGAGGGAGGUCCAAAUAGCGAAGUGGGUUGAGGUACUGCUGGUGUUUUGGAUACGUGUUGGUUCAGCAGAUCCAAAUGGCUGUCCAAGCGGGAUAUUUGAAUCGUCAGAUCCUCAAUCAACCAUUGCCACCGGAAACCCUUUUAUUGUUGAAUCAGUUGCUGAAGUAUUUACAAUUACAUGUCAUGCAGAAUAAUUUACGAUGUGAAGGCGCUUCCAAUAAUCAAAUGCCGAUUAUUUCAAAAAUAAAGCAAAAAAUCGCUGGAUUGGAGAACCACCCAACAAGCAGUCAACAUGAAGCACCAACAGCAGCAUUUUGGAAAAGCAACUAGGUACCUGACAAAUAACGUCGAUCGUGAACUGAAUGAUCUAACUACGUCUCAGAAUAAAUUAUCGGAAAUGAAAUUAGGUAAAGAACAUAUCACCAUAGCUCUAAAGGCGGUAGUAUCGGUACCGGUUCUACUAGUCAACACUGAUCAAUGGAAGUUGCCAACCAUUGACAAGGAUGAAGAACACGAUUUUACUGAUUUUUGUCGUGAAUCUAGAACGAUGGCAAAAUCCACACUUCCCACUUCCCACUACUGAAUCAAACAUCUACACCUGGUCCACCUGUCGUGGAGGAAUUGAAGGUGGAUGACCAGAUUUCUCAGUCGAUACUGUCAGUGACGAUUAGCCUGCUAGACAACAUACUUUCACAGAUUUGCUUGCUAUGCGCUUGAAUCUGGAAUACCUAGAAAGUUUUGUAUGCUAUUUUAAAUCAAUAAUCAGUUAUAUUGCAUCAGGGCACUAAAAUGUAUUAGUAUUGCAUGUAUUUUGCAAAUGAUAAUAAAAUUGAGAACCUAUACUGUAACGAUG